CAGUCGCCGCGGGAAUACAGAGGGUGCAAGCGUUAAUCGGAAUUACUGGGCGUAAAGCGUGCGCAGACGGUUGCGUAAGUCAGAUGUGAAAGCCCCGGGCUCAACCUGGGAAUUGCAUUUGAGACUGCGUAGCUAGGGUGCGGAAGAGGGAAGCGGAAUUUCCGGUGUAGCGGUGAAAUGCGUAGAUAUCGGAAGGAACACCAGUGGCGAAAGCGGCUUCCUGGUCCAGCGCCGACGUUCAGGCACGAAAGCGUGGGGAGCGAACAGGAUUAGAUACCCCCGUAGUCCCUGUCUCUUAUAC
rnacentral:rRNA from 1 species